UACGAAGGGGGCUAGCGUUGUUCGGAAUACUGGGCGUAAAGCGCGCGCAGGCGGUCCUUUAAGUCAAGGGGUGAAAGCCCAGAGCUCGAACUCUGAACUGCCUUUGAAACUAGAGGAGCUUGGGUACGGGAGAGGUGAGUGGAAUUCCGAGUGUAGAGGUGAAAUUCGUAGAUAUUACGGAAGAACACCAGUGGCGAAGGCGGCUCACUGGCCCGUUACCG
rnacentral:rRNA from 1 species